rnacentral:sRNA from 2 species
UGUGCCAGGAGCUGAGGCCUGUGAAGUUAGACGUGAAGCCGCAUAACCUCCAACCAUCAAUGAAGGCAGUGAUUAUUGGAUAGUUCCAGUAUUGACAGCUCAGGCGAUGACCGGGCACUGCCAGGCUUUGUGUGCUCGCUUGAUUCAAAGGAAAAGAAAAUUUUGAAAAUAAUGGGGAAUCUCAGAGUUAUUUUACAAGCAAGGACCCUUGGUGGUGUGCAUAUAUUAACUAUAUUCAUUCAAAACACAAUGAAUACUCCCCCUGAAAGGUGGGAAGAAGGGAAACCAUUGAGAAUAAGUGGACAGUUAGCUAAUAGUUAACUAUCAGUUAGUAUGUAUGAAUCUUUGGCCAAGAAUCAUCUGAAUCUAAUUUAUUCUCUGAAGAUAGAAAAGGGGGGAACGAUGGAACUAUGGACUACGGUCAACUCACACUAAGAGACGCUUGCUUGCGUUGGUAGCUCUACAAGAUUAGAACCUUGAGGGGA